rnacentral:rRNA from 1 species
ACGGCUCAGUAACACGUGGAUAACCUGCCCUCAGGUCCGGCAUAACCUCGGGAAACUGAGGAUAAUUCCGGAUAUCCCUUUUCUGCUGGAAGGCUUAAAGGGACAAAGAAUUUCGCCUAAGGAUGGGUCUGCGGCCUAUCAGGUUGUAGGGGGUGUAACGUACCCUCUAGCCGACAACGGGUACGGGUUGUGAGAGCAAGAGCCCGGAGAUGGAUUCUGAGACAUGAAUCCAGGCCCUACGGGGCGCAGCAGGCGCGAAAACUUUACAAUGCAGGAAACUGUGAUAAGGGAACACCGAGUGCUCGCAUCAAAUGCGGGCUGUCCACAUACCUAAAUCGUAUGUGUUAGCAAGGGCCGGGCAAGAACGGUGCCAGCCGCCGCGGUAAUACCGGUGGCCCGAGUGGUAGCCGCUUUUAUUGGGUCUAAAGGGUCCGUAGCCUGUCUGAUCAGUCCAUUGGGAAAUCCGGAUGCUCAACAUCCGGGCUUCCAGUGGAUACUGUCAGACUUGGGAUCGGGGGAGGUAAGAGGUACUACAGGGGUAGGAGUGAAAU